AUUGAACGCUGGCGGCAGGCUUAACACAUGCAAGUCGAACGGUAGCAGGAGAAAGCUUGCUUUCUUGCUGACGAGUGGCGGACGGGUGAGUAAUGCUUGGGAAUCUGGCUUAUGGAGGGGGAUAACGACGGGAAACUGUCGCUAAUACCGCGUAUUAUCGGAAGAUGAAAGUGCGGGACUGAGAGGCCGCAUGCCAUAGGAUGAGCCCAAGUGGGAUUAGGUAGUUGGUGGGGUAAAUGCCUACCAAGCCUGCGAUCUCUAGCUGGUCUGAGAGGAUGACCAGCCACACUGGAACUGAGACACGGUCCAGACUCCUACGGGAGGCAGCAGUGGGGAAUAUUGCGCAAUGGGGGGAACCCUGACGCAGCCAUGCCGCGUGAAUGAAGAAGGCCUUCGGGUUGUAAAGUUCUUUCGGUAUUGAGGAAGGUUGAUGUGUUAAUAGCACAUCAAAUUGACGUUAAAUACAGAAGAAGCACCGGCUAACUCCGUGCCAGCAGCCGCGGUAAUACGGAGGGUGCGAGCGUUAAUCGGAAUAACUGGGCGUAAAGGGCACGCAGGCGGUUAUUUAAGUGAGGUGUGAAAGCCCUGGGCUUAACCUAGGAAUUGCAUUUCAGACUGGGUAUCUAGAGUACUUUAGGGAGGGGUAGAAUUCCACGUGUAGCGGUGAAAUGCGUAGAGAUGUGGAGGAAUACCGAAGGCGAAGGCAGCCCCUUGGGAAUGUACUGACGCUCAUGUGCGAAAGCGUGGGGAGCAAACAGG
rnacentral:rRNA from 1 species